AAUGAACGCUAGCGGCAGGCCUAAUACAUGCAAGUCGAGGGAGAAUGUUGGAUUCGUCUGACAUGAAACCGGCGCACGGGUGCGUAACACGUAUGCAACCUACCUUUAACUGGGGUAUAGCUCAGAGAAAUCUGAAUUAAUCCCCCAUAAGACUACGACAUGGCAUCAUGAUGUAGUUAAAGCUCCGGCGGUUAAGGAUGGGCAUGCGGUACAUUAGCUAGUUGGUGAGGUAAUGGCUCACCAAGGCUACGAUGUGUAGGGGGUCUGAGAGGAUGAUCCCCCACACGGGCACUGAGACACGGACCAGACUUCUACGGGUGGCAGCAGUAGGGAAUAUUGGUCAAUGGACGCAAGUCUGAACCAGCCAUGCCGCGUGAAGGAUGAAGGCCCUAUGGGUCGUAAACUUCUUUUAUUAGGGAAGAAAAAACGGGAUGCGUCCUGUACUGACGGUACUUAAUGAAUAAGGAUCGGCUAACUUCGUGCCAGCCGCCGCAGUAA
rnacentral:rRNA from 1 species